UGCUCAGAGGCGCUCUGACACCAUUCAGUCCAGAGUCCCACUCAGACAAGGACCUGCGCAGGCUGGAGCCCCGGACAGCACAACGCGGACCACUUGUAGUUUGGAUUAUUCCUAUAUGAGACCGGUUUAUUCUACAAUAAAGGCUGUGCACCUUACAUCUAGCCUAUGUUAAAUGUUCUGAAAGAAAAAGGUCUGUUUUGGGGUGAAGCCUGAUUUGUAUUCUCUCUAAGGUGAAGGACAAGUGCAAUGUGCGCCAGCCUGGUUUCUUGGAAUAGUCUGACACGCGCCUGAGGAACUAUGUCGUGCUGCAGCGCGGGGCUUGUUCAAGAGGACGCGCCUUCCACGUGAAUAACGACCUCCAGCUCUGUCAACUUUUAUUUAUUUGCUCAUUUAAGAGCGAAACAAGCGCAGCGGCGUGAGUGACCGCGCUGCCCGGACACCGCCGCUCUCCUCCGGGAGGGGAUGGUUGUGGAGCCAGGAGCGACUCGGGGGCUCCUUCUCAUCUGCGCGUUUUUCCUGUUUGGGGUUGCCUCUGAACUAAAGGGAGAUGAGAGCCGCACUUUGUUACUUCCUGCUGUGGACGACGUACCUGCUGGCCACUGCUGAGGAAGCAGAGUUCCCCCAGGAGCUGAUAGACCGACUCUCUAACAGUGAAAUCCACAGCAUCAGCGACCUCCAGCGGCUACUGGAGAUUGACUCCGUAGGUACGGGAAACGAUGUGAUCGAGGAGCACAAAUACCGCAAGCAUCACAACCAUCAUAAGAACUUCUCUCAUCACCAUGGUUACUACAAUGGGCUGAAGAACUCGCAGCUACACAGCAGGCGCAAAAGGAGCAUUGUGGAGGAAGCAGUCCCGGCGGCGUGCAAAACACGGACAGUGAUCUUUGAGAUCCCCAGGAGCCACGUGGAUCCCACGGCGGCUAAUUUCCUGAUAUGGCCGCCCUGUGUGGAGGUGAAACGUUGCACUGGCUGCUGCAACACCAGCAACAUGCGCUGCCACCCAUCACGCAAGCACCACCGCACCGUUAAGGUAGCCAAGGUGGAGUACGUGAGAAGGAAACCCAAACUCAAAGAGGUUUUUGUGCGGUUAGAAGACCACCUGGAGUGUGUGUGCACAUCACAACAUCAUGUGGCAGAGCACUUAGAUGCAGAAACAGGCCACCGUAGGGCUAAAGGUAAAAAACGGAAACCUAAAAAACUAAGGCCCACCAAGGACUUAUUGGUGACAUAAUAAAGUUGCUCUCGUUAUACAAAAUCCACUGGGAGGCUGUGACGGGAACAGUGGACGUGAGGUGAGUCCAGUCAGAACAAAGGAUUUCAGCAUGGAAGGGACCUAAGAAAGAAGACGCCACCAGAAGGACGCCCUCUCAUUGUCCCCUUCACCACCAUGCAACCUUUGCAAAAGAACAAAUACUUUUCUGUAAAGUGACUGAAGAAAUAGACAAAAACUAAAAGAUGCCAAAGGUGCUUUAACUAAAACAGUCUCUGUGGCAGCUGAACUGUGCUACUGAUGAGGACGAGAUGAGAAGACGCUACAAAAAUCGAGUCGUGCCGAAAGACGCCAACGGAUAAAAAAAACUAACUGUGAUGAACUUCUGGGCAAAAUUAUUUAGAAAAUAUAUUCACCUGAAACAGCCAUCAAACAGUUGGAUCGAGUAUUCAAGGAAGGGCUCUGAUGCAACACCGGUGCCCGCCCCUUUAAUGGACUCAAGCAAGGGGACAAAAACAGGCACCGUGAUGCAAAGAUCACAGCAAACAAGUGCUUGAGAGUGUUUAUUUUCCAAGACUCUCAUCUGGAAAUCAAGCAUUUCAGAGACCUUUGGUUGCCUUUGUACAGUUCAAUUAGAAAACAAGACGAUGCACCGCUUCAUACAAACUAUUUAUGUGCGUGGACUUUUGUUUCUUUCACAAUUCAAGAAAGGACAAAGAUGCUUUUGUAAGAUUUUACAGACGUUCUGUGUGGUUCAGCUCUUUGCAUUCAUUAUCACAAUCUCAGUGUGAAUUUGUAGUUGUUUUUUAAUUUUGCUUGUCAACCAUGUUUCAUAUCAUAUUGCAGUAUAUCUCAUUAAUGUCAUGUGUGCAAGGAGAAGAUGUGAGAGUCAGUACAGGAAGAUGCUUUAUUUUUGUUAUCAAAUAUAUUAUGCAUACUUAUAUCCAAACAGGAAUUAUGAUGUUUUUAUUUUAUUUUGUAGUUUUUGAAUGCCUGUAUGUGGGCAGAGGGUGGAAUAAUCAAGUUAGAAACUGGCAAACAGUGUUUUUGGCUUGUUUGAAUCAGAGUCGGGACAUAAAGGGACAGAGAGGUGCAGACAGGAGGACUUAGUGGCUUUCCAUCGAGGAUUUAUAGAAUCAGUCACAUUUUACACAAACAUUUACACAAUAACUGUACGUAAACUAAAACGCCUGACAAAAAGAACAACUGAGGAAGGGAUAAAAGCAAAACUGCUUUAUUGUCUUUAUCGAAACUAAAAGCACUGAACGCAAAAUAUUUAGUUUCACAGGAAAUCAAAUAAGUUUUUCUAAUUAAUCCCAAAUUCUGCAUAGAUUAAAAGAUUGUAAGCAAAUUCACUUUUUUUAAUUAUUAUAUUUUUUUACUAAAACACUUUUUGAGUUACCUAAAGAUUUCCCAAAAAUGGCAAAACUUUGUCACUGUUAAGCCUAAUCUCCUCAUUGGGUUCUGCUGUUAUAGAUUACUGCAGAAAAGAGAAUGAAUUCAUCAACAACAAGAUGCUCUUGAUUUCUGAGACGGGUGGAAAAAGUGAUAGAUUCAAUUUCACUUCCAUGCCCUCUUCAACAGUCACUUCCUCUCUUGUUUAAAAACACUGGAUGUUGCCAUGGCAUCACUGAGUUUGAGAUUGGUCAAUAGUUUCGGUCACAAGACCGAGUCCAACAGCAAGUACGACUUCAAAGUACCUCAUUCACAAACUCCUAGUUGUAGUUAAAUACUUUUGUGUGCACAUCAGUUUUCGUGGUAAAUUAUUUCAGAAAGACACAAAAGUAACUUCAAAGAUAACAGGUGUGUGUGUGUGUGUGUGUUCACACAUGAUUCCUGUGGAACAAGAGGCUGUUUUCACACAUAUCUCCUACACUGAUAAGGAAGAUGGCCACCCAUUCCACUUCAUCUGCUGUGCCUCAAAGAGCAAAGUCCAACUUAAAGUGAAUGAGUGAGCAAAGCGCAUCGACGGGCGCAUGAAUGGGCUCCUUGUUUGGCCGAGCUUUCCUCCCCUGUUGACAGGAGGACAAAUCGCUCCACCCUGUGGAGGGACUCUCGCUUCAAGCAGCCGCAUCCAAUCAGGACAGAUGAUGAUGAGUUCACCGAGGUGGUCUGAAAACAUUACAGUGCAGGCCCGACCCCACACCCCAACUAAACAAACAUCACUUCCUCACUGGUUCCUUUAAUGGUGAUGAAUAUGUAGCCAAGGCAACAACAACAGUCACCUUCCAUCUCAUGCUGUAACAAGGAAGUCACACUGGGAUGGCAGCAAAAAGAGGAAAUCCAUCAAUAAGUGAAUGAAAUUGAAUCCAGUUGAAUUGAUCUGUGGCCACAUCACAUGUGAAAGUUUUUGUGACAUCAGGGACCAUUCUUAGAGAUGUCUGAUUCAAUUAAUACAUGUCGGUAUGCUCUUACUGUUUCCCAAGCUUCCACUGGUUAGAGACAGCAAAUAUUCAUAAUUUAUAUAUUUAUGCUUUCCAACAAUAAACAUGUUUCUGCUCAUGAAA